rnacentral:tRNA from 2 species
GAUGUGGUGGUCGAGUGGUCUAAGACGCCAGAUUUAAGUAGUAGGUGGCUGCUUCAGCCAUUCAACUCCUGGUGCUCGCGAGAGCGCGUGGGUUCGAAUCCCAUCCACAUCA